AAGUCGUAACAAGGUUUCCGAUGGAGGUUCUUUCUCACGCGAAGCUUUGAACGUGCACGACUCUAAAUACUGCCGUCAAGGUCCACGAUCUCUCGUGGGCCACGUCACAUAAGUGCUGGGAUCGUUAGCGAUAACCGUACCAGCAGCCAAGGUUCUUCCUGGGUUCACAGAUUAAAUGGUGACGGUUGGAUGAGAGCAGAGUGUAGGGCCUUGCUGCCCACAACUCGCUUGUUAUCCAGUUAAGAUAUAACCGGUCCGCUGCGUCGAAACAGCUGGAGAACACGUUCCGUAGGUGAACCUGCGGAAGGAUCAUUAUCGAGUUAGGGUCCUCUGGGCCCCAUCUCCCACUCUUGUCUACCUUGAAACGUUGCUCGGCGGGCCCGUCUCUGACCGGACCGCCGGGGAUUCCGUCCCCGGCCCGCGCCCGACGACGACCACUUUUAAACUCUUGCAACCGUGUCUAAACCAAAACCAAAUUAUUAAAACUUUCAACAACGGAUCUCUUGGUUCUGGCAUCGAUGAAGAACGCAGCGAAAUGCGAUAAGUAAUGCGAAUUGCAGAAUUCCGUGAGUCAUCGAAUCUUUGAACGCACAUUGCGCCCUUUGGCAUUCCGAAGGGCAUGCCUGUUCGAGCGUCAUUAUCAACCCUCAAGCCCGGCUUGUCGUUGGAUCCCACCGUCGCCCCCGGCGGUGGAUCCGAAAGAUAAUGGCAGAGUCCGUGGGACCCUGGAUGCAGCGAGCUUCUUCAGCAUGCACCCCGAUGGUCUCCCGGCUCGGUCUGACCAUCAUUUUCAUCUGGUUGACCUCGGAUCAGGUAGGGAUACCCGCUGAGCUUAAGCAUAUCAAUAAGCGGAGGAAAAGAAACCAACAGGGAUUGCCUCAGUAACGGCGAGUGAAGCGGCAACAGCUCAAAUUUGAAAUCUGGCCCCCUUGGGGGUCCGAGUUGUAAUUUGUAGAGGAUGCUUCGGGCAAGGCCGCGGUCUAAUUCGCUUGGAACAGCGGGUCAUAGAGGGUGAGAGUCCCGUCUAGGACCGCGCGCCGCGCCCAUGUGAAGCUCCUUCGACGAGUCGAGUUGUUUGGGAAUGCAGCUCUAAAUGGGUGGUAAAUUUCAUCUAAAGCUAAAUAUUGGCCAGAGACCGAUAGCGCACAAGUAGAGUGAUCGAAAGAUGAAAAGCACUUUGAAAAGAGAGUUAAACAGUAUGUGAAAUUGUUGAAAGGGAAGCGCUUGCAACCAGACUUGCGAGUGACGGUUCCCCCGGCCUCCUGGCCGGGCUACUCCGUCACCUCCAGGCCAGCAUCGGUUCGGGUGGUCGGUCAAAGACCCCGGGAAUGUAUCCACCUCCGGGUCGACUUAUAGCCCGGGGUGCAAUGCGGCCCACCCGGACCGAGGAACGCGCUCCGGCUCGGAUGCUGGCGUAAUGGUUGUAAGCGGCC
rnacentral:rRNA from 1 species